rnacentral:rRNA from 1 species
AUGAACGCUAGCUACAGGCUUAACACAUGCAAGUCGAGGGGCAGCAUGAACUUAGCUUGCUAAGUUUGAUGGCGACCGGCGCACGGGUGAGUAACACGUAUCCAACCUGCCGAUGACUCGGGGAUAGCCUUUCGAAAGAAAGAUUAAUACCCGAUGGCAUAGUUCUUCCGCAUGGUAGAACUAUUAAAGAAUUUCGGUCAUCGAUGGGGAUGCGUUCCAUUAGGUUGUUGGCGGGGUAACGGCCCACCAAGCCUUCGAUGGAUAGGGGUUCUGAGAGGAAGGUCCCCCACAUUGGAACUGAGACACGGUCCAAACUCCUACGGGAGGCAGCAGUGAGGAAUAUUGGUCAAUGGACGAGAGUCUGAACCAGCCAAGUAGCGUGAAGGAUGACUGCCCUAUGGGUUGUAAACUUCUUUUAUACGGGAAUAAAGUGAGGCACGUGUGCCUUUUUGUAUGUACCGUAUGAAUAAGGAUCGGCUAACUCCGUG